rnacentral:rRNA from 1 species
UACGGAGGAUGCAAGCGUUAUCCGGAUUCAUUGGGUUUAAAGGGUGCGUAGGCGGGCUAUUAAGUCAGUGGUGAAAUCCUGCAGCUUAGCUGCAGAACUGCCGUUGAUACUGAUAGUCUUGAGUUUGGUUAAGGUAGGCGGAAUGUGUAAUGUAGCGGUGAAAUGCUUAGAUAUUACACAGAACACCAAUUGCGUAGGCAGCUUACUGAGCCGACACUGACGCUGAGGCACGAAAGCGUGGGGAUCAAACAGGAUUA